rnacentral:rRNA from 1 species
UACAGAGGGUGCAAGCGUUAAUCGGAUUUACUGGGCGUAAAGCGCGCGUAGGCGGCUAAUUAAGUCAAAUGUGAAAUCCCCGAGCUUAAACUUGGGAAUUGCAUUCGAUACUGGUUAGCUAGAGUGUGGGAGAGGAUGGUAGAAUUCCAGGUGUAGCGGUGAAAUGCGUAGAGAUCUGGAGGAAUACCGAUGGCGAAGGCAGCCAUCUGGCCUAACACUGACGCUGAGGUGCGAAAGCAUGGGGAGCAAACAGGGAGUUAAGAUG